rnacentral:misc_RNA from 1 species
UUUCCGUAGGUGAACCUGCGGAAGGAUCAUUAUUGUAUAACCGAGGUGCGAGGGCUGUCGCUGACCCGAAAGGUCCUGCACGCCCGAGUGUGUCCUCUUGCAUAAUAAUCCAUCUCACCCUUUGUGCAUCACCGCGUGGGCACCCUUCGGGAUCAUCUCGGAGGGGGGCUCGCGUUUUCACACAAACCCCCCUUUUAAAAGUGUAGAAUGACCACAUUUAUGCAAUCAAUACAACUUUCAACAACGGAUCUCUUGGCUCUC